CAUCACUACUGGCCAGCGGCGGAGUGUGCACGAUCCGGGAGUGCUGAAGACGUUCUGCGCGGUUUUGAUGGGUGCGCGGCCACAAAUGGGCGGCGACCGCUUCUUCCAGUGGCAGGAGCUUCACAUAUCCUUUUUCCUAAGCGCCCUCAACAAAUAGAGCGUUAACUGUUCCUCUAAGGUGUUCUUCACAUCUAAAGUGUGUGCAGAUAAGUGUGUACCAGGGAUCCAUCAGAUAGAUGAAGGGACGUUGUCUCUCCACUGCUGUGACACUGACCUUUGCAAUGCAGCAGAUGGAGUGUUUAAGGGAAGCUUCCUCCUGCUCUUCUCUCCUCUGCUCUUCUACUUCCUGUUUCAGUGAGUCCAGAUUCAAGACUUCAGAUUCUACAGUGAAGAUCAGCACAAAAACUGAAUAUGAGACACAAUUGAUUUAAUUUACUGAAUAAAGCUUGUUUGUUGCUCUGCUGUUCUUUGGUUUGAGGAACUGAAAGUGCUGAUGCAGUAGUUAUCUUAAUAAAAUACAUUAAGAUAACUACUGCAUCAGCGCUCACAGAUUUAUACAUUUCCCAUACAUAAAAUAAAAGUUAUUAUAGAAUGUAAUAAAGAAUUAAGGAACAAGAGUGUGCUAAACUGCUGUAUAAAAAUAUUUACAUACCUGUUUGUAUUACACAUCUUUCUCGGUUAUUUCUGUGACUGGAAAUUUGUUGUUCAACUAGUAAAGUUUUAAAAGGUUGAAAUGCAUGACUAUAAUACAAAACUGCUCACAUUUACAUUUAAGAUAUUUAGAUUUUAUCCAGAAAGACUGCAAAAUUGUUCAUGUGAUCUGAAAUGAUGCAAUAUUAUGAACUGAAAUAACCCAAAAAUAAUCAUAAGUUGUAUUAUUUAGUUUGUCCGUGAUGGACUGGCCAUCUGUCCAGGGUUUUGGGAUAGGCUCCACAAUCCCACAAACCUACUUUUUGUAAUAA